rnacentral:rRNA from 1 species
CAGUCGCCGCGGGAAUACGAAGGGUGCAAGCGUUACUCGGAAUUACUGGGCGUAAAGCGUGCGUAGGUGGUGGUUUAAGUCCGUUGUGAAAGCCCUGGGCUCAACCUGGGAAUUGCAGUGGAUACUGGGUCACUAGAGUGUGGUAGAGGAUAGUGGAAUUUCCGGUGUAGCGGUGAAAUGCGUAGAUAUCGGAAGGAACACCUGUGGCGAAAGCGGCUCACUGGACCAUAACUGACGCUGAUGCACGAAAGCUAGGGGAGCAAACAGGAUUAGAUACCCCCGUAGCCCUGUCUCUUAUACA